rnacentral:lncRNA from 1 species
AUAAGAAUCUGCCCAUUGUCAUAGGGACUGAACAAAAGGGCACCCAAUUCAGUGGUGGACAAGUGCCGCUAUGGAAGAAGGUGCUGAAUCAGCCAUUCAUCUCAGAUUAGUCCGUGAAGUUGAGCCUGAACCUUCAUCUGGACUCAACUCGUUCUCCACCUAUGGAAUCGGAACAUCACCAUUUGUUUCAGAGUUCUACAGCAGAACAUAACAAGAAUAUGAAUGCAGAUUUUCAGAUCUGAAGUAUGCUUGCUUUUGCAAGCCUUUUGAAUAUCAUCUGCCAGGCUCCUUUCCCAGGCUCCUUCUCCAAUUUCACAGAAUCAUAGAAUCACAGAAUUGCGGGGAUUGGAAGGGACCUCAAGAGACCAUCAAGGCCAACCCCCUGCUAAAGCAAGUACCCUGCAGUAGGUCACACAGCAGUGGAUGACCGAGUCUAGCUUCAGUAGUCACUGAGAGCACCUCUCUUUUCUUCCUGUAGAAGUAAGGACACUGAGCAGCCCGCAGCUGUCUGAAGUUGCAGUUGGAGGAAAAAUACUUCUCAGCUUAGCUUGCAGCUGGAAUAUGCAUGUGAACAUGAACUUACAAAGAUAUAAGGAUCCUCUUGCUAAAAUUCAGGCUUAAGUUACAAGCAUAUGAGGUAAAAUGGCAUGUUUUUCCUCAAGACUCUCAUUGAAAACAAAUUCUUUGUGUGCAAAUAUCCCUUCCCCCUCAGAAACAUUCACCUGAGGCAUAUGGCUUGUCUCAAAAAGAUUCAUCUACAUGCAUUUUGGAAUUACAGAAUCACAGAUAAGAAUAAUAUACAAGAGCCUUUGGUAGGAAAUAUUAAACAACCAGAAGAACAUUGAAUGGUUCCUCUUCUAGUAACAAUGCUACACUGCAUUCUUUCAGUUGCGUGAGGAGCCAUUCCACUCACGAGAAUUUUCCAGCAAUAUGAAAUAUCUCAGUGCUUUUGUC